ensembl:lncRNA
GCUGAGAUUACUUUCAGAGAAUUAAAAACAUGGAAUGCUGUGUAUUCCUGUAAAAAGGCAUACUUCAGGAUCUUGAACAUUGUGGCAGCACUGAAAAUGUGAAUCUCUAGGGGUCAGGUGAGUAAAAUAAAAAAAGCUAAUGAACUCCUCUAACUUUCAGCUGCCUUUAUUCAGGUAUAAUCUUGCAGUUCUGAAUGCAUGUUGUAACGUUACUAAUUGGUGUAGUAAUGUCCCUAGUUCGUAUAAUACUGAAAGGGCAUUAUGCAAAUGUUGUGUAUAUCGUGAUUUUAUCCUGAAGUGCUUGACUGGAAUGGAGGAGAGAUGAAAAGAAGAAAGACAACAUGUGGUUAUUCCCAUUUAACAAGCUUAGUCUAAGAACAUGCGGAGUGGGAAUUGUUGUACAUGUGUUUCUUGUGCCAGUAUGCCUCAGAAAUCCACUUAAUUGCUAAAGUAAGCAUAACUAAGAUGGCAUUUCUUGCUUCUAGAAAUGAAUGCUAGUGUACUAUUUGCUCAGUUUGCUUUUGUAGUGCCUUAGUGGUUUCUGAUUAGUUACAGCAGCACGUGAAACUGUUUCUGUCCUAAAUGCUCAGUUAUUGGAAGUCAAGUAAGAUAGGAGGCAGCCUUUUACCAGAGCUUCUGUUAAUGAAUGCUUAAUACCUCCUUUGGUAGGUAAACAGAGCGCAGAUCUUCUAUCAAAAUCAAAACUGCAUUAAUGCAGUCCUGCCGAACUGCGUGGCAAAGCAAGAGAUGAUGUGUUACAAGGCAGUAACCUGUCUGCACUGGUUUUGUGUGAUGUUACUUGCAAAUUGGAGCUGCCAAAUUCUACUUCAUGUAUAUCUGUAUCUGCUGAAAGCAGGAGGAGUCCUGUGAUUACAGUGCAGCAAGGCCCAUGCAAGACCAUAGGAGAACUGGCUGGAGAGGAAAUAAGGGAGCAGUAAUGCAAAUGGUACUUCAGUUUCUUUUAAUAUGCUUCCUUGUAGGAGGCCAGUAAAAUGUUGUUUUCCAACAUUAGUAAAGUCUGGUUAUGAGAAGAACCAAACUGAAAGUGACCUGCAGAUAGCCUUCACAAAAGAUGGCAUGCUAACAGGGUGGGUGGUGACUUUACACCAGAGGUGCCCUGUGAAAAACCUUAUUUCAGGUGCUCUGAACCAUUGCAAAUGCAUUUUCUUUCAGAAGGAUUUCCCAGACGUACUUACUCUUCUCUUUCAGGGUUUACUGGGGAAGAGGAGUGGAUUCUGGGGACUGCAACAGAAACAAUUGUACGUACUUUAUGCCAGCUACAUGUUCUGUGUGGCAGAAAGACGCUUACUUCUGAGGUUUCUGGAAAGUGCCUGCUAGAAUGAUUUCCACUGUAUUCUCUGAUGGCCUCUGUGCUUUGCUACCCAGGUGCUGCUGGACUGACUACAGUUGUGCUGGAGAGCUGUUCUGAAUGAGCGUAGACAAUCAAAUGCUUCAUCAAAGCUGAAGUCCAGGUCAAAUUAUCUUCAGAGCAGAAAUAGACCAAAGAUGCCUCUCCCUUCUCCCUCCUCCCCCAAAUUAAAAAUCAGCUCCUAGGUGGAGGUCACAGUCAUCUUUGGAAGGUGUAACUCUCAGAUUUCCAAGUUUGGACCAUGUGGGCUAAACUCGAAGAAAUUCAGAAAGUCUGAGAAGAGUCUUCAGCCUCUGAAGCUGUUCUAUGUGUAUGUGCCACCACGUGCUCAGUUUUCAAUGGAUGCAAUGGAUGUAAGUCAUGACUCAUUGACACAAACCAGUAAUUUGCAUGCCAAAUUGAAAAACAGUGCCUGAAGACAAAUGCAUAGAGAACUGACCUCAGCCUAGAGAUCUGAUAAAGUAUGCUUAAAAAAACCCACACGUAUUCUUAGAAUCUCCCUGGAUUUUUGUGCUGCUGUUUCUGAGAUAGGUGGCUCCAGAUGACAGUUGGGUUACUGCUUUGCAAGACGUGUACUUCCAGUCUUACUGAAAUCCCAUUUCCCUAGAUAGUCUGUUUGUUCUGUUAUUUACAUUGCUGAUAACUGGUGAAUAGGCUUAAAACAGAAAAGCUGGUUUUGUAUCGAAUUAGGGCUUAAAAAAAUGCAGAUGUGAAGGAGGAGAUGAUACAAACCAUACAAUUUCUGAGGCCUUGGUGCAAAACUUGGAAUGUUUUCUUUUAAAUAUCUUUCAUUUUCCAGGAUCCGAAUGAGGAGCAGUCUCCUCUAGAAUGACUACAUAUCUGGAAUUGUUUUGAAUUCUUUGACUGACUUUAACAGCUUCUUUGGAAUAAUGUUAAUGUAAGCUACUUUUAUGGUAAUCUUGGGUGAGUUAAAACCUGUAAUGCCAUCUGCCUUGAUGGUUGAAUGGUGAAAUACAUACUCUCUUAAUGUUAUUAAAAGUCCACAGACUCAAGUCUGGUGAGACCAGAAUGGUAUGGAUUCCAACAACAACAACAACAAAGUGCUUUUCUUCAUUCUGUGUAUACCUUGGUGAGAUGGAAAGAAACUGACAUCUUUGCUCUUCCUCUGUGUUGUGUGGGGAUGUGGAGUAGAUUUGUGUAGGAAUUGACUCCUCCAAGGACUACAUGUUUUCUUUUUCUUUUGCUCAGCUUGGAUCUUCAGCUGCUUUUGCCUGUGGACUGGUCACACAUACCUUAAGGAGCUGCCUUUGUUGGCCUUGAAUUUUUAAACCCCCUGGUUUUCCUUAAAAUGUUAAGGGUUAUAGCGUAGCAGUAGGGCCCAGGGUGUAGAAGGGAGCAAAACGUUUCAGAGCAGGAGAGCUGGAGACUGUAGGCAUAGGAAAGAGCUGGAGUAUAGAGUAUUAGAGAAGGGGUGGCACUGAUAGCAGAGAGACCCUACUGUAAAGGUAGAUAUGGCUAAUAACACGUAGAGUACAAGGAAGGAUAAUAAAUCUGACAUCCUCAGCUUGUCUUUUUUUAAUGACAGUUUAAGCAUGGAAAACAGUAUAUUUUUUUAUGCCAAAGGAGCAAAAAACUGGUCACUUCACAGGUGAGGCAGUAACUGUGAGCUGCCCUGUAGGAUCUGUUGGAAGAAAGCCGGAGAAAUGACAAAAGCAAGGAAGCGGCAUGGGAAUGAUGAGCAGGUCAGCACACUGGAGAAGCAAAAUGAGGACAGUAGACGGGAAGGUAGAAGAAACAGUGAAAGAGGAGGCUGCAGCUGAAAAGGGGGGAAUUGUAAAAGGACACAGAAUUGUGGAGGAAAGAUAGACAGAAACAUGAAAUAAUGAAAGACUGCAGGUAAGCAACUUGUUCUCUGUGCCAAUCCUUCCUCUCUUCCUCCUGGACACGGCAGAACAAAACAUACUAGCAUGCAGUGGAGCACAGCAAUGAAAAAAUACACGCAAAAGAUGAACAGAUUGACUUCCCAAGUACUGUUGGCGUUCUUUAGUAAUGAUUUUUUUUUUCCGGAUCAUUUCUUUCUAUAUCAUGUACAAAGAAAAGACUCACUUUGCUUACCUUAAUGCAUUGAUUCGAAUCAAAUUCUCACCAAGAGCAUGAGCAGGUGAUAAAUUCUCUUGCUUUCAACUGUUUUUUGGAGUGAAGUUUGUAAAAAAUACCUUAUGUUGCUGGACUGUUGUCUGGGAGCUUUUCUCCUGCACUGCCUGAAAUACUGAAGUAUGUCAGAGGCUGUGUUUCUGCACAGCUUUGUAUGAUUCAAAGCUAACAGGCAGACUGCUCUGCAGCAGUAAUAUGAAAGGGAAGGUGGUUAUGUGACAAGAAAAUAUUGACAGUGUUUGGUUGCCUUGUUUAUACCACUGGUUAACAGAAAAUAAGCACAGCAAGCAGCCAGAAAUGUUCCAUUUGGAUGUUAAAUGUGCACCUGGUGCAGAAGUGCCUCUACACGGCAGGAACCUGCAGGGCUUUGCACAGCUGUAAAGUUAAUGGACACUGAAUGCCUGGCUCUCCUUAACUAUUUCCACCUGCUUUGCCUGGCUCAUGCUCCUUUGAGUUCAGCUAAGCCAUCCUGAUUUGUAUUUGAUUAACUAAGAGGGAAUUAAGGCCCAUGUGUUCGCUCCCUUAAUCGUUUCUACAGUAUUCUGAGUUAACAUGAGAUAUUUGUUUGGGCAGUGUUUAUAUGUGAGGUUGGGAUGUCUCUCUGCUCCUCCUUCUUGUGUAUGUAGCCCCUGCUCGAAGCUAAUGAGUAACACUGGUAUAGCAGCCACAAACUCAUCAUGCAGAUUACUGUUUGAACCUGAGAUCAGUGCCAUGCUCUACAUCUUACUUCUCAUAUUCGCUGCUGGCGUUGUUACAGUAAUUAAUGGCACCCAGUCCUGAAAAAAAAAUGACCUCUCCUGUUCAUUAGGAAGUGAUUACCGUGAGGGGCUGCUAUUAAAUGAGCCGGCAUAGCUGCACUUAAUCAGACCAGCUGGACUGAAAGCAAGCAGGAGGGUUAAGCAAACAAACCGAAACGCAAGUGGGGCAAGUGAUGGAUCUGCUCCCUCAUAACUGGGAUAUUGCCAUGGAGUAGGUGCACUGAAAUGAACUGA